rnacentral:rRNA from 1 species
GACGGGACCGCACAAGCGGUGGAUGAUGUGGAUUAAUUCGAUGCAACGCGAAAACCUUACCUACCUUGACAUGUCCGGAAUCCUGCAGAGAUGCGGGGUGCCGAAAGGAAUCGGAACACAGGUGCUGCAUGGCUGUCGUCAGCUCGUGUCGUGAGAUGUUGGGUUAAGUCCCGCAACGAGCGCAACCCUUGCCAUUAGUUGCUACGAAAGGGCACUCUAAUGGGACUGCCGGUGACAAACCGGAGGAAGGUGGGGAUGACGUCAAGUCCUCAUGGCCCUUAUAGGUGGGGCUACACACGUCAUACAAUGGCCGGUACAGAGGGUAGCCAACCCGCGAGGGGGAGCCAAUCCCACAAAGCCGGUCGUAGUCCGGAUCGCAGUCUGCAACUCGACUGCGUGAAGUCGGAAUCGCUAGUAAUCGCGGAUCAGCAUGUCGCGGUGAAUACGUUCCCGGGUCUU